rnacentral:rRNA from 1 species
ACGAACGCUGGCGGCGUGCCUAAUACAUGCAAGUAGAACGCUGAAGGAGGAGCUUGCUUCUCCGGAUGAGUUGCGAACGGGUGAGUAACGCGUAGGUAACCUGCCUGGUAGCGGGGGAUAACUAUUGGAAACGAUAGCUAAUACCGCAUAAGAGUAGAUGUUGCAUGACAUUUGCUUAAAAGGUGCAAUUGCAUCACUACCAGAUGGACCUGCGUUGUAUUAGCUAGUUGGUGGGGUAACGGCUCACCAAGGCGACGAUACAUAGCCGACCUGAGAGGGUGAUCGGCCACACUGGGACUGAGACACGGCCCAGACUCCUACGGGAGGCAGCAGUAGGGAAUCUUCGGCAAUGGACGGAAGUCUGACCGAGCAACGCCGCGUGAGUGAAGAAGGUUUUCGGAUCGUAAAGCUCUGUUGUAAGAGAAGAACGAGUGUGAGAGUGGAAAGUUCACACUGUGACGGUAUCUUACCAGAAAGGGACGGCUAACUACGUGC